GGGUAAAAUAAGACACGUAAGCAUCCAAACUUUUUUGUUUUUGCGCGAGUUUUACGUGUUCUGUGGGUCCUGAAAGAUAUUAAUCAAUUGGGCUUUUAUAGUGUUCAAUUACAAGACCAGCUGAUCUAUAGAGUUUAGCUCUUCUAGAUUUAGUAGACGCAGAGCAGAGCCGCCGUGAGCUUUUUAUGACACCGCCUCAGAACAAGAUCACGUAACGUUUGCUGCAAUCAUUCACUCGCCACAUUAAAGCUACUAGUUACGUAAUUUACACCACUCAUCUCACUCUCUAGCAUUCAGUCGCUUCACUCUCCUUGAAGGUAACAUACUAAAUCUCCACCUAUAAAUAAGUUUCUUGUCUACCAUGAACAGCGGAAAGGAUGAUCUAUGUUCUGCACGAGCUCUAUCAGUUGCGACUUCACACCUUCUCCUUGCCUAUAUGGAAGUUGGUUGUUGUUCUAUGGGUGUCGACAUACUUUUCCUUGACGUAAAGUCGAUGAUGAUUCUAGGUUCUGCUAAAGCACACCGACUCAAAGAUCAAACUCGAGUUUUGGUAGCAGCAUAACGGAUAAAGAUGAUGAUCAAACCAUUCCACGUAUAUUAGUUGAAGAUGAUAGCUUAACAAGAGAUGACAAGCAGGGGAAGAGAAGAGACUGUCGCAUUUAGAUUCGAUUUAUCACACACCUCGGGUUAACAAGCAAAUGCCCGAUAUGAAUAAUGCAACAUUAGACCGUGAGCUGCUUUCUGGUUGGCUGGCCACAGAUGGUAAGCUGAAAUACUGCUGUGGCUGCGGAAAAGGCAGCGGUAGAGACCGCACCUGUGAAGAUGGUGGAGGUGGUGGUGGAUGUGGAGGCGUUGGCAGAGGUGUAGCUUUAGGCGUUUAAAGAUGGUUGUUAGUUGUUACCGGAUUUGACUGUAAUCUGUAAGAGACUGCAAUAUACAUAACAAGAUAUGAGCCCGUUGCAAAAAGUUUUUGUUUGAUAUUUUAAUUUAAUAAAUCCAUAAAAUAAUAAAUCAUUUUAUUACAAUA